CACGUAGGCACCAAGCGUUGUCCGGAUUUAUUGGGCGUAAAGAGCUCGUAGGCGGUUCGGUAAGUCGGGUGUGAAACUCUGGGCUCAACCCAGAGCCGCCACCCGAUACUGCUGUGACUUGAGUUCGGUAGGGGAGCGGGGAAUUCCUGGUGUAGCGGUGAAAUGCGCAGAUAUCGGAAGGAACACCAGUGGCGAAAGCGGCUUCCUGGUCCAGCACCGACGUUCAGGCACGAAAGCGUGGGGAGCAAACAGG
rnacentral:rRNA from 1 species